CUUAAAACCCAAAAGACUUGACGGUGUCCAACCCCACUAAGAGGAGCCUGUCCUAAAAUCGAUACUCCCCGCUCAACCUCACCAUUUUUUGCUUAAUCAGUUAGUAUACUUCCGUCGCCAGUUUACCACAUGAAUGAACCGUAGUGGGCUCAAUGACWUCUAMCCAAAACUUCGGGUCAAGGUGCAGCURAAAAAAUGGGCUGAGAUGGGCUACAAUUUCUAUAUUAAAACAUAACRAAUUACUGCAUGAAAAAAACAGUCAUGAAGGUGGAUCUAGUANUAAAAAAAAAAAUANCKUGCCUUUUUUAACACGGGCAAUGG
rnacentral:rRNA from 1 species